rnacentral:rRNA from 1 species
CUUGCCCUUUAGACUGGGAUAACAGAGGGAAACUUCUGAUAAUACUGGAUAAGUUAGUAUAUCGCAUGAUAUGCAAAUGAAAGCUACGGCACUAAAGGAGAGCUUUGCGUCCUAUUAGCUAGUUGGUAAGGUAAGAGCUUACCAAGGCGAUGAUAGGUAGCCGGCCUGAGAGGGUGGACGGCCACGAAGGGGACUGAGAUACGGCCCUUACUCCUACGGGAGGCAGCAGUC